rnacentral:tRNA from 1 species
UCCCAUGUGAACUUGUUAUUAGGAAUCCUGGCUUUCACUCACGCGGCUCGGGUUCGAUUCCCGGCAUGGGAA